UGUAGACUAGCCACCUUCACCACAGUAUUCUACCAUCUCUUAGAGGCGUCGCUUGCCCGAAAAGACCCAGCAGACGCUGCGUUUGAUUAUACCCAGCCAGCAACUGCAAUGCCUUUGUGAAUCCGGAUCGUGAGAACAGAGCUAUCAAGUCUGCUGGCCACGCAGAGUCACUGCUGUGAACGCAGAGCAGAGCCUCCUAGCUCAGCCGAGACCCUUGGGAAAGGUCAGUCUCCUAUCAAAUGAGCUCCCCCGUCUUCUGUCCGCUGCAGAGUCCCAGCGUGUUUUCUUCGCUUGUGAAGUCAAGUGCUCCUCGCAGCCGAAGGGAGGCUGGGAGAAUGGUGCUGUCCCUUUCAAGCUGGUUCCCUGAGUCUGGCAUGCAGGCAGAUGCCGAGGCUUCCAAAGAACAACCUCAACCUCACAGGGAGGCGAUUGACAAGGAGAGGCGGGGCCCCAUACACACCAACUAGGCAAGUGCUUCACCACUAAGCCAUAUCGUUGGCUCUCUCUUCACUUUCAUCGUGAGGCAGCUGCUCCAUCAAGCUGCCCGGGCUGGCCUUGAGCUUGCUACGUUGCCAACUUGUAGUCCAACUGAGACAGAGUCUGACUGCUGGCACCAGCCUUUCAGGAAGUCCUAUGGGACUCCUGGAACAACAGCCUUUCCAGAGGCCAAAAGAGUCACAAUGGAAAUCGUCCCUCCACAUGAAAGCACACAGCUGGUCAGAGAGAACCCUGACCUUCCCAAAUGCUCCUGCGACGUGAAGGUUAGGGUCCCCGCUCUGCAAAUGAGAAAACAACUGCAAAGGACCCUGUAGAUGACCGUGCCAGAGCUCUUCCUGCCUUCAAACCAUCCUGCUCAUUAACUAGCACACCCAUUCAUCACGCCCACCGGGGCUGAGCGGACUUCGCACUCCUAGCCGGCGACCCUGAGUUCUGUAUGGUUCCAAAGGCACUAAGAUUCCCCCAACACUGCUAGAAGCUUGUGGUGUGCGUGGAAGAGUAGAGAGAAGGUAUACACAGAGGAAAGUGUUCUCCCCGGUGAGGGAGGCUAGAUGGAGGUGAGAUCAAGUCACGUGUCUGAAGUGGGACGACAAGAUGACCAAGCAUCAUUUAGGAUGUUCAGCUGGACGCAUUUUCCUCCUCUUUCCAUGGGGUCCUCUCCGAGUCUGACACUGAUGACGCUCCAGGAAGAAUCCAGGGCUGCUAUCUCCUCCAGCUGUGUCUUCAUACAGAUCCACUGUGACCCCAGCAAGCUUCUAGCUUCUUGCUGCUUUCCCGUGGAAGCACCUUGUGUGUGUGUGUGUGUGUGUGUGUGUGUGUGUGUGCGCAUGUGCAAGUAAACAUGUGUGAACAUGUUCAUAUGUGUGGGUAGGCGCAUGCAUGGAAGCCAGAGAUUGACACUGGGUAGACACUUCAAUUGUUCUCCACCUUAGUUCUGGAGAGAGGGUCUCUCACUGAACCUAUAGCGCACCGAUUCAGCUUGAUUGGCUGGGCAAUCUCCAGGGAUUCUCCUUUUUCUGCCUCCCCAGGGUUGAGGUGACAAAUGCCACCACCUCUGGCUUUCUCACCUAGGUUCUUGGGCUCUGAACCCAGAUCCUCAUGUUUGCAUGGCAGAGAACCAUCAUCCUAACCCCUGGCAGAUAUUAUAUUUUGAAGCUAUGAUGUCAUGUUCAUUCAUCUUUUCUCGUUCUUCAAUAGUACAUUCUUGCCUUUCUGCAGUUACCUGUGACACCCAGAUGUUGUAGAAAAACUGACACUUGUUGAAAUAUUGCAGUUAGUCUGAAAAAAACCUUAACCUGCUUUACUCAACUUCCCUUGUCCUGUGACAAUUUUUGUAACUUAACCUGGUCAUUCCACUACUCUAGGCUUAUAAAAUGCUUUUGGGAAUACCGUGCUCUUUCCCCAAACUGUCUCAUUGUUUAUGUUUCUAUUUAUACAUUCUAUUGCACCUAAGGAAACUAAUUACUGGGUGUGCCACACGGCAGCACCUUUCAUGCAACAAAUGUCAUGUCGUGCUUUGUAAUGAGGUCUACUGCUGGAGUUUCCUGGCAGCUUUUAUCCCAUGAUCAUUAAAUGAACAUAAAUGGC